rnacentral:rRNA from 1 species
UACGAAGGGGGCUAGCGUUGCUCGGAAUCACUGGGCGUAAAGCGCACGUAGGCGGACUCUUAAGUCGGUGGUGAAAUCCUGGAGCUCAACUCCAGAACUGCCUUCGAUACUGGGAGUCUCGAGUCCGGGAGCGGUGAGUGGAACUGCGAGUGUAGAGGUGAAAUUCGUAGAUAUUCGCAAGAACACCAGUGGCGAAGGCGGCUCACUGGCCCGGUACUGACGCUGAGGUGCGAAAGCGUGGGGAGCAAACAGG